rnacentral:miRNA from 1 species
UCAAACGUCGGACUUUUCAUGCGCCGAACCUAAUGUUAAUGAGCUAAGUUCUUUGUUUCACUUCAUUUGCAUUAGGUUCGGCGCAUGAAAAGUUCGACAUUUGACC